rnacentral:rRNA from 1 species
CCUACGGGCGACAGCAGUGGGGAAUAUUGGUCAAUGGGCGAGAGUCUGAACCAGCCAAGUCGCGUGAGGGAGUACUGCCCUAUGGGUUGUAAACCUCUUUUGUCGGGGAGCAAAAGCCGGACGUGUCCGGCUGUGAGAGUACCCUAAGUAAAAGCAUCGGCUCACUCCGUUCCAGCAGCCGCGGUAAUACGGAGGAUGCGAGCGUUAUCCGGAUUUAUUGGGUUAAAAGGGUGCGCAGGCGGAUUUUUAAGUCAGCGGUCAAAUCGUGGGGCUCAACCCCAUCCAGCCGUUGAAACUGGGGAUCUAGAGUGUGCGAGAGGGAGGCGGAAUGCGUGGUGUAGCGGUGAAAUGCAUAGAUAUCACGAAGAACCCCGAUUGCGAAGGCAGCUUACUAAACUGUGACUGACAUUGAUGCUCGAAAGUGUGGGUAUCAAACAGGAUUAGAUACCCCAGUAGUC